AUUGAACGCUGGCGGCGUGCCUAACACAUGCAAGUCGAGCGGUAACAGGUGUAGCAAUACAUGCUGACGAGCGGCGAACGGGUGAGUAAUGCUUCGGAAUCUACCCAAUGGUGGGGAAUAACCAGCCGAAAGGUUGGCUAAUACCGCAUACGUCCUACGGGAGAAAGCAGGGGAUCGUAAGACCUUGCGCCAAUGGAUGAGCCGAAGUCGGAUUAGCUAGUUGGAGGGUAACGGCCUACCAAGGCGACGAUCCGUAGCUGGUCUGAGAGGACGACCAGCCACACUGGGACUGAGACACGGCCCAGACUCCUACGGGAGGCAGCAGUGGGGAAUAUUGGACAAUGGGGGAAACCCUGAUCCAGCGACGCCGCGUGUGUGAAGAAGGCCUGC
rnacentral:rRNA from 1 species